CGUACACUCCUGCGGGAGGCAGCAGUGGGGAAUUUUGGACAAUGGGCGAAAGCCUGAUCCAGCCAUGCCGCGUGCAGGAUGAAGGCCUUCGGGUUGUAAACUGCUUUUGUACGGAACGAAACGGCCUUUCUAAUAAAGAGGGCUAAUGACGGUACCGUAAGAAUAAGCACCGGCUAACUACGUGCCAGCAGCCGCGGUAAUACGUAGGGUGCAAGCGUUAAUCGGAAUUACUGGGCGUAAAGCGUGCGCAGGCGGUUAUGUAAGACAGUUGUGAAAUCCCCGGGCUCAACCUGGGAACUGCAUCUGUGACUGCAUAGCUAGAGUACGGUAGAGGGGGAUGGAAUUCCGCGUGUAGCAGUGAAAUGCGUAGAUAUGCGGAGGAACACCGAUGGCGAAGGCAAUCCCCUGGACCUGUACUGACGCUCAUGCACGAAAGCGUGGGGAGCAAACAGGAUUAGAUACCCGGGUAGUCCCAUG
rnacentral:rRNA from 1 species